UACGAAGGGGGCUAGCGUUGCUCGGAAUCACUGGGCGUAAAGCGCACGUAGGCGGCUUUCUAAGUCAGGGGUGAAAUCCUGGAGCUCAACUCCAGAACUGCCUUUGAUACUGGGAAGCUCGAGUCCGGAAGAGGUGAGUGGAACUGCGAGUGUAGAGGUGAAAUUCGUAGAUAUUCGCAAGAACACCAGUGGCGAAGGCGGCUUACUGGUCCGGUUCUGACGCUGAGGCGCGAAAGCGUGGGGAGCAAACAGG
rnacentral:rRNA from 1 species